rnacentral:rRNA from 1 species
AGCACGUUAUGGUGGGCACUCUAAGGAGACUGCCGGUGACAAACCGGAGGGAAGGUGGGGGAGUGACGUCAAGUCAUCAUGGCCCUUACGGCCUGGGCUACACACGUGCUACAAUGGUCGGUACAAAGGGUUGCCAAGCCGCGAGGUGGAGCUAAUCCCAUAAAACCGAUCGUAGUCCGGAUCGCAGUCUGCAACUCGACUGCGUGAAGUCGGAAUCGCUAGUAAUCGUGAAUCAGAAUGUCACGGUGAAUACGUUCCCGGGCCUU